rnacentral:rRNA from 1 species
GGUGGUGCAUGGUUGUCGUCAGCUCGUGUCGUGAGAUGUUGGGUUAAGUCCCGCAACGAGCGCAACCCUUAAGCUUAGUUGCCAGCAUUCAGUUGGGCACUCUAAGGUGACUGCCGGUGACAAACCGGAGGAAGGUGGGGAUGACGUCAAAUCAUCAUGCCCCUUAUGACCUGGGCUACACACGUGCUACAAUGGACGGUACAAACGGUUGCCAACCCGCGAGGGGGAGCUAAUCCGAUAAAACCGUUCUCAGUUCGGAUUGUAGGCUGCAACUCGCCUACAUGAAGCCGGAAUCGCUAGUAAUCGUGUAUCAGCAUGCCACGGUGAAUACGUUCCCGGGUCUUGUACACAC